CCUGUGGACAUUGGACAUCACAUAAAAAGAAAUCAAAUAAAUCUCAAACAUGGGGUGGUGUUUUCUGUAGAAGUAGAAGCAGCAAGAAAUGAAAUCGCCCUGUAGCAACAAUGGACAUUUAUUGGAAACCUACUGCUAGGUCUCCCUCCCUCAAGACCACAAGUCCGUCUCCAUCCCGUUCUCCUGUUACAGACUCAGGACAUACCGGUCAUCAUAAAUCCACACCAGGGUUGUGUUCAUUAAGCACCAAACAGAGGAAAACAGACUGAAAAAGCUGUGAUCUUGCCCACGAUAUGGAAGUACCUGCAGACACUUGGGGCAGCGCCCUACUUCCUGGGUCUGGGCCUAUCAGCGUUCAGCCUGACUGGUCUCCUCUCGGGGCCUCUGUUUGGACACUGGUCCGACAAGACCCGCACCACCAAGAAGAUCAUCCUGUUCACCAACCUCUUCGAGAUUGUAUUGGUACAGGUGCGGGCUCAUCCAUCUUUGGCUUCCUGACCCGAAGCACUGCCCCGGAGGACCGCUCCACCAUGUCCGCAGUGGUCAUGGCGUGCCGACAGGCUGGCCUUCUGAUUGGUCCAGCAUUUAACAUCUUCCUGAGGCUCUGUGAUUUUCAGUAUGGGCCGUUUGUGGUGAACAAGUACACUGCACCUGGG